UAACCCCGUGCAUCAGGCUGGAUUGGGUCAACCCCCACCUCCCGCUCCUCUCUCCCAUGGAGCGCCUCCGCCGCCCGCCGUGUCCCCCAUCUCUGUCGCCGCCGCCGCCCACCACGUCCCCAUCUCGGUCGCCGGUGGCCUCCACCUCCACUACAUCGCCUCGGCCCCCAACACUUGACGCGAGACAUGGGGAGAGUUACCGGACACAAGCCAUGUCUGGGACACACGAGGCUCCAGUCGCCGUAGACGCGCCGCCUUUCGCCAGCGCGUUCCGGGGAGGGGAAUGCCCGGGGGCGUAGGGUUCGGCUUCCGGGCGGCGGGCCUCGGCCUCUGAUUUUGGCCUUUCUUUGUUUGCCUCCUUACCGGCGCUCGUUUGCGAUUUCGAUUUCUCCUUCCGGUUCGGGAUUCUGGUUCCGGCCUUGUGGGUUUGCGACUGACGGAAUUCCUUCUUCUUUUCCGUGACGGACUGGUGGCAGGUUCCAGAGCGGCGGGAUGGGGAACAGACGGCCGGGAGGAGCGCCGCCGACCAGCAGCAGGAGCGUGGCGAGGGACAACACGGAGGCCGUGUCGGAGGCUCCCCGCCUGCGGCCGCAUGGAGCCCCAGCCGCAUCGGUUUCAGGGAGCCCAAGUCGGAGCACACCCCUUCCUGGUCAUCGGGAGAGGGGUUCCACUGGGGGAAAUGUGAGGACACCGCCUUAUGACAGGCAGCAGAACAGAGCCGUGGAGGAAGCGCGGCUCAGAGCGUCGAGCUUGGUUAAGAAGACCAGUGUGCUCAAUUCUCUGUCAAGAGGUUCAGAAGGAAUCUCUGGCUCUAGGAUGGGUGCAUAGGAGCAAUUGAUGAGUGAGCACGCCAGCAACGGGGAUGUCGGCUCUUCCUCGAAGAAGCGGCCAAGAAAAAUGGAUGCAAGAAGCUACAUCAAGAGCGUCAAGACGGGCGUAAGAGUGGGUGCCCCAGGAAAGGAAGAGCUUGCAGUCGCGGGUUCAUUUGUAUUCAUAUAUACCGUGUUUGAUUCCCAUCGAUCGAUUGCUAAUCUUUGGCAGCUGCCUUCCUCUACUACUGUAGCCGUGGCAAGGACGUCAAGGCCCUGAACUUGACGUAGAAGGAUGGCCGGCUGUCCCAGGUAACCAACUCUCAUAUGAAUCAUAUACAUCCUCUCCGACAAGUGACAGUUGGGGCUUCAUCUAAUUCAUCGAGAAAUCUAAAAUUCAGGGCUUUCCGUUCCUUGAGAACGACUGCCUAACCAGCACGUGCCUGCAUUACAGACUAUACGUGCUGGCUUAGAUUAAUAACACAUAUUCAGUUCACGAUCAGAAGGACAAUUUAGAUUAAUCAGCAAUAAUUACUUCAUAAAAAUGCAGUACAGUUGGACCCUUAAUGCAAGCUUCCAUUAGUGAGCUUUUGCUAAUGAGGAGUAAUUUAGCAACGUGUAUUUUUACUUUUUUAUCCACUGGCCUGUAGGAUUUUGUCUUGAGAUUUCCCGGAAAGGUGUAUUGUCAUUACGAAAAUAUCUUUGAUAUUUGUUUCAUCAAUCUCCAAUUGCUAAUUAUUUGUAAUAUUAAAUUAUAUGUGUUGAAGGCUUCUUUCUAUCGAAUUCAAAAUGCUGGAGCCUUUUGUGCUACUGAAUCAUAUCACUGUUAGUUCUUACCUGAAGAUAUUUUUUCAUUUUGAUAUGCAUGAAGUGACUAAGCUUUUGCUUUGACAAAAUGAAGGAACUGACUGAGCCCACUAUUAAGGAAGAUUUUGGGAAAGGUGUGCAUCAGGGAGCAUCUUGUGUUAUUGUCAGUUCAUAUUUUCUUUUCCGUGACGGAGGAUUUGUAGUUAUAAAAUGCAUACAACUGAAGAUGUCACCAGUGGCUCUGUUUUAUUCUAAUGCAUAUAUCGCACGGUAAGACAUGGGUUCUCAUGCAACUUGGCAUGGUUCUUUCUCAAGAUAUGCCUUCUUUAGCAUCAUAAGCCUCUAAAGAGCACUCGAGUGUACCCUACAUCAUCACGGCUCUUCUUGUACUACAUGGGCUUAUGGUGGUAUGUGCUAAUUAACUUCUCUCUCGAUAUUUAUGAGAAUUAUCAUUAAUAGAAAAGACAAACUAGAUGCCUAAGGAGGAACGUGGUAUUUUCUAUAAGUAGAGCUAACAUGAACAACCACUCUUUUGAUGAUAUGCUAUAUUUUUCCAACAAGGAAUUGAACUACUCUCUAGGAAAGGGAGUUUAGAUUAUUUUUUUAUUAUUAAUGAUGGGUUUGGACUCGAUGGAUGCUUGUUCUAGAAAGAAGUCUAGAAAGAAGUCACUGAAUUGAUAUCAACUAAACCAAUCUCUUCUUUAUACAAGACGCAAGGGGUACCUUGAUAGCACGUAAAAACAUGAAUUGUUUGAGUUCUUUUUUUUAAUAUGAGAAAGUCAAUUUUGCAAGAUAUUAUGAAUGGUCACAUCAAAUACUAUCUGAGGCACAUCACAGGUGAAGUCAACGAGUGUACGAUGUGUGCCAGGACUUGGAAAAGUAUUGCUUUUGAUAUUAAUGGGAAAGACAAUGGAGGCUACUUUGCUCGAUAGUACUACCACGGUAGAUUUGAAAAUUGUAUACAACCAACCCUACUUUCCAGUUUGCACGUUCCUUACCAGGUUUAAUUCUUCAUACUUCUUCAAUGAGAGAAACUUAUAGUUCAGGAUGCAUUCUGCAGGUUCCAUUACUGAUGUGGUACACAAUGCUUACUACACAUGUCGCCUUAUUUUCUUGUUAUGCUAUUUAUCUAAUUAAGCAAAUGUCUCAGCGUCAUAUAUUGUUAAUCUGCAUUGCUACUAUACAAUACGGAGUAAGUUAGAUCUUCUUCCUGCCCCAAGCACGUGCAUUGCAAGCUUGCCCAUAUUUUUUGUAGCCACUAUACUUUAUUUUUCUAUGUCUGUGCAUUAUUGGCAUGUCAAUUGGAGAAUUUAAAAAUACCCCUACAAAUUAUGACAUAGCUCAGCUUUCAUAUUUUGGGGGUCAAUGAUUUGACAUCUGAAUCAGAUGUGUUAAUAUGAGCUACACAAAAUUUAAGUAUGUUAUAUCAUUCCAUAAUGCUAGAAUAUUCAUUAGUGAUUUCUACAGGUUCAUUCUUUUUACCGUGGUGUUGGUACAAGGAUAACAUGAUAUAGACAAACUAUAAUCAUGCUUUCCUGCAUUGCAAGUUGCCCAUAUUAUUUUUAGAUGUUGGUUCUCUUCUUUUCAUUUUAAAGUUUUAGUCUCAAGGCAUCCAUGCUAGCUUACUAUAGAAUUGAACACAAUUGAUGAACCUGAAAUCUUUAUGGGCGAGGUGCUGUAGCGAGAUUACUUUUUAAUCUGAUUUUCACGCCCAGAGAUGGUGAAAUUGUCCAUGCUCAGUGUCAUUCCUUGUUCUUAUUCAGGAGCUGCCAUGGUUAGUGUCACGUGUAUGCACAAUUGUAUUUCAUAAUACUGAACAACCUUGCAGGUGACAUAUUUUCCUUCUAGGUGGCCUGGUCUGCGAUAGCAUACUGGUGGCAGCGAGCACCGAAAGACAGAGAUGCACGUAAGGGAUUGCCUAUUAGUGGCAUCAAGCUCCAGAAUAGAAGAUACAAAAUAGGAUAGGGGGAAGAUAUGGCGAUGAAGAGAGUUGUUUGGUAUGUGCAUGUGUACGUGGUUGUUGGGUUGUCUGUGUUGUAAGUGCAGUCGGAAUUUUUGGCCAACAUGUUUGAAAGUAUAGUCUGUACACAUGUGAAUUAUAAUUUUGGCCACUGAAUUACUAUGGUGACCAAAUCAACACCGAGACGGUUAGCACCCACGGCUCCCUUUUUCUC